rfam:Camelus ferus unplaced genomic scaffold scaffold12865, whole genome shotgun sequence.
UCUCAGACCCUUCUCAGGGUCACUCAACAGCAUCUUACUAUUUUAUU